rnacentral:lncRNA from 1 species
CUAGAUCACGUCUAAGACAUGGAAAGUGGAACCUUCAUGGAAGGUGGCCGAACCGAUCGCAUAUACUUUUCCAACACGGAGAAGAAGGGGAUAUAAAAUCAUCCCGGCCGUCCGUUCCAAGCUCCAGGCCCCCUCAUCAAUCCUCGACGCGUCUGUCCGUCCGUCAUCGCGCGCGCGCGGCACAGAAGUCAGAACCCCCAACCACGCCCGCCACCGCCGACCGCGCACCGCCC